rnacentral:rRNA from 1 species
UACGGAGGGUGCUAGCGUUGUUCGGAAUUACUGGGCGUAAAGCGCGCGUAGGCGGGCUGUUAAGUCGGGGGUGAAAUCCCGGGGCUCAACCCCGGAACUGCCUUCGAUACUGGCAGCCUAGAGGACGGCAGAGGCUAGUGGAAUUGCCGGUGUAGAGGUGAAAUUCGUAGAUAUUCGCCGGAACACCAGUGGCGAAGGCGGCCUUCUGGGCGGUGUCUGACGCUCAGACGCGAAAGCGUGGGGAGCAAACAGG